CGCCUACGGGGCGCAGCAGUAGGGAAUUUUCGUCAAUGGGCGCAAGCCUGAACGAGCAAUGCCGCGUGAACGAGGAAGGUCUUCGGAUCGUAAAGUUCUGUUGAAGGGGAAAAAGAGCGGAGAGAGGAAAUGGUCUCCGAUUGAUAUUACCCUUCGAGGAAGUCACGGCUAACUACGUGCCAGCAGCCGCGGUAAUACGUAGGUGGCGAGCGUUAUCCGGAUUUAUUGGGUUUAAAGGGUGCGCAGGCGGUCUGUUAAGUCAGCGGGCAAAGCCCGGG
rnacentral:rRNA from 1 species